UAUUGUCUCUUGGAUUUUCCUGCCCUAUCUAGCCCAUGUCGGUUUCCUCACUUUCUUCUGUUUUCUGGACUUGACCCUGCUUCUGCCUCUCGACCUCUGCCUCCUGCCUCACCCUUGGAUUUGUCCGCCUGAUAUUGCCUGCACGUGUUGGACCCUUUUCUGUGCCCUGACCACCGUUCUUCGCAUGCCCCUCAGAUAAGUUUUGCAUUUUUCUGCUUUCCUUAUCCUGCCUCAACUCCUUGACCUCCUAGUUCUGAUUCUCCCUGGAUGUGUCACCUGCUACUUACCACUGUGCUACCUGUACUCGCGCACUGGAUCCGUCUCUGAAGUGUAGAGUUGUUCGGCCCUCCACAGUCAAUCCCCAGGGAUGACUCAUCGUCCUCCACAACCCUUUAAGAUAUGAGCUGGAAGCUUCUGGAUAUCAGCCAUCAAGCCGGCGCUCUUGCAAGGCUGGAUUAUUCACACAUUCGACCUCCAACCCUGAACAACAACAAACAGCUCAGUGCUCGCCGCUCGCUCUGCUCGCUGUUCGGCAGAUUGGACGAUUACGGGUCGCGACAUCAGCGGUUUGGCGCCAACGUUCAUCUCACAUCUCCUCUGAGGAAAUGCAGAAUUUACUUGUAUCUGUAAAGAGGACUCUGAACCUGUCCGGUUCCUUUUCUCUCAGCCCAAUAAUCGUGACUUAAUGUCAGGGGUUGAUCCUGGAGCACAACUCACUGAAGGUCUUUCAGCAAGCUCUGAUGCUGAGAUCUGAAACAUAUCCAAGCAUGCAGGAAGAUCCAAACGUGCAGAAACACAAACUCCAACACGACGAGGAGCAGAGAUCAAAGCCUGGAAAUGUUUUGCCACCGUCAACCUGAAAGUGCUCCAAGAACAUCAAGUGAGGAGCAAGAAGACAUCUGAAGGGAAAGCCCCUCAAAGUGCAUCCAUCACUCGACUACCCAAAAGCAGACAAGCGCAUUCUCUGCUGACCCUUUAAAGAAUGUGCUGCUAUAAGUUCAGAGCUAUUUAUUCUGCUGAGCAGUUUUAUUUGGAAGAAGAAGAAAAAAAGCAACCUCAUGUUCAAAGUUUUACUACAGCGCAAAAAUAUAGGUACCUAGAAAGUGCUCACAGCACUCCAUCCUCUCUACAUUUUGCUAUGUUGUAAUUGUGUAAAAUUAAUCCUACACACGAACAUGCGAAUACUUUCUGGAUGCUCUGUAGUUAAAAGGUUUAGCAUUUAAAUGCGCAUAACAUUAAGUUUUAAGAAAUCACCUUGUAUUUUAGUAGGUACCAUCAGUAAUUACAGAAUCUUUGUCCAAAUAUUGGAAUCAAAUUGCUAUGAAAA